rnacentral:rRNA from 1 species
UGCAGUCUCUGCGCAAGCAGGGCGGACUGCUGAGUAACACGUAGCUAACCUACCCUUGGGUGGGGGAUAACCUCGGGAAACUGAGGAUAAUACCCCAUAGGAGAUAUCAUCUGGAAGGAGAUAUCUCCGAAAGCUUUUGCGCCCAAGGAUGGGGCUGCGGCGGAUUAGGUUGACGUUAGGGUAACUGCCUAACGUGCCUAUAAUCCGUAGGGGCUGUGAGAGCAGUAGCCCCCAGAUGGAUUCUGAGACAUGAAUCCAGGCCCUACGGGGCGCAGCAGGCGCGAAACCUUCCCAAUGCGCGCAAGCGUGAGGGGGGUACUCCCAGUGCCUUCCUCUGGAAGGCUUUUCCUCGGUGAAAAGAGCCGAGGGAAUAAGGGGUGGGCAAGACCGUUGCCAGCCGCCGCGGUAAUAACGGCGCCCCAAGUGGUGAGCUCUUUUAUUGGGCCUAAAGGGUCCGUAGCCGGACAUGUAAGUCCUCUGUUAAAUCCCUAAGAAGACUUAGGGGUCGCAGAGGAUACUACAUGUCUUGGGACCGGGAGGGGCUGAGGGUACUCACAGGGUAGGGGUGAAAUCCUAUAAUCCUGUGGGGACCACCUGUGGCGAAGGCGCUCAGCUGGAACNGUUCCGACGGUGAGGGACGAAAGCCAGGGGAGCAAACCNGAUUANAUACCCGGGUAGUCCUGGCUGUAAAC